GCUUACGGCCACACCACCCUGAACACGCCCGAUCUCGUCCGAUCUCGGAAGCUAAGCAGGGCUGGGCCUGGUUAGUACUUGGAUGGGAGACCGCCUGGGAAUACCAGGUGUUGUAAGUU
rnacentral:rRNA from 1 species